ACGGACACGGAUGUCCGUGGUUCCAUACAGCAGCGAUGUUUUUGUGGAACAAAAACUCGCGUCCAGAAGUGUACACGGAGGUAUACUUCUGGACAGGC
rnacentral:sRNA from 1 species